AAUAAAAUAAGUAAUAAUAAUAAUAAUAAUCGUAAUAAAAGUAAUAAUAGUAAUAAAAUACACCAGUUAUCUAUAUUAUGCUAAUUUUACUAUGAUCCCAUAAAUUUAUUCUAUUUAAAUUAAUACAAAUUCAAAAUCAUAUAUACCGAGAUAGAUUAAAAAUAUAAAAAACCUCCGAGAUCUAAUUUAAACCAAAAUUAAGAAAUCAAACAAAAAUCCAAUCAAAACGAUACUAUCCCGUAUAUUAAAAUAAUCCCAAGUGAAUUUUAAGACCAGAUCUGAUGAAGCCAUUCAACGAUAAAUUUCGUCGGAAUAAUAGCGGAUGGCAACGGAAAAAUGGGGAUGGGACGGGCUGGUGGCUUUUUCAAAAUCUCUGGCGUGAACGGAAACGGAGAAGGAGGGGCCACAACCUUGUUUUCCGGCGAAGGUGGGUUUGGCCGGUGGUUUUCCGCCGAUUUUGGGUUCGGUGGCAGGCGGGAGGUGACUGUGGGUCGAAGGAAAAGGGAAUAGGGACACGACCUGGCUGAAGACACCGUUUCCGGUGAGGUAACAGUUUCGGGGAGAACCGUUUUGGCGACUGUUUCGCCAAAAAAGAUGACGGUGGCGCGACUGAUGAAGAAACAGCGGCGGUACCCAUGGGAUUUUGCCGGAAACGGGACGGAAAAAAGGGCGGCACACAAUGAAUUGGUUCACCAGCGCCGAUAGACGGAAAAAGACAUUUUUGCGGCGAGAUUUAGUCGGUUUUCCCGGCUAUUUCUCGCCGGAUUUCGAGCAAAAAUGGCUACUUGGUGGUUUUGAGUGAGAAACAAGAACAUUCGGCAGCAAAAUACUUUAGGGACGGUACCAGAGAUGUAUUUACCGCCGGAACAAUGACCACGUCGCCAGUUUUCUCUUUCUCACCUUCACCAUUUUCCCCCCUCCGUUCUGUUUUUCUGUCAAUUAUUUACUGUAUGUAUUGUUGUGUGAAAGAUAGUGUAUUGUGAAGAGAAAAAUACAGUGUAUUGUGAAGAGAAAAAUACAAUGCAAAUGGUGUGUGCAGUGUAUUUUGGUAGUGAUCAUUUUUCAUUAUUUGUUUUACUGACAUAUUUUUUCUCACUAUCUGUAUACAUAUUCUCCAUCUCGGCAUGUUCAUUGAUGCGUGAAUACAGAAGUUUUUUCGUGUACGACUAUAAAUAUUCAAUAAUUUAAUUUACGUAAUAUAUAACAACAAAAAUUCACAUAGUUGAUCAAUUUCACAUAUUAAACAAUAUAAUGAAAUUAUCUUAACAGUUUUGUUCAUAUUUUUCUACAGUAGAUUUAUAAUGUAAAUAGUACAGGUUUAAAGAAAAAACUGUAAUAAAUUAAAUUGAAUAAUCUGUCAUCGAAAAAUUUAAAUGGAACUCCAACAUCAACUUUCUUCUUUUCUCUUUUUUUUUUUUUUUUGAUGUUUUGUUUUUCU
rnacentral:lncRNA from 1 species